UACGUAGGGGGCGAGCGUUGUCCGGAGUUACUGGGCGUAAAGGGCGCGCAGGCGGUCUGGUAAGUUUGGAGUGACAGUGCUCGGCUUAACUGAGCAAGGCCUUCGAAAACUGCUAGACUUGAGCACUCAAGAGGGACAUAGAAUUCCGGGUGGAGUGGUGAAAUGCGUAGAUAUCCGGAGGAAUACCAAAGGCGAAGGCAGUGUCCUGGGGAGUGUCUGACGCUCAGGCGCGAAAGCCAGGGGAGCGAACGGG
rnacentral:rRNA from 1 species